UGUUUGUCGUCCACAAUCCUCCUCGCAGGAGAAGACGGAGCAGAGACGAACCUCCUCUGAGUGAGUCUGUACUUACAUGAAUAAAUAUAUAUAUAUAGGGAUGUAGAGUGUAUUAAAAAUAUGGGCAAUUAUUCCUUAUUAAAACAGAAGUGGUGAAUUCAACCUCUUAGUGGUGGAUUCUGGUCAUUUUGAUCUGUGAUGCUGGAGUUAGAUCAGGAUCUUGUUACAGAUCACAUGUGUUACUGUACGAUGUGAGGACUGUGAACACUGAGUGUCUGGUUUGACUGUUUGCAGUGAGGAUUGUUGUUCUGGGGAAGAGUGUGUCUGAAAAUAGUCUGGUGGGGAACUUGAUCUUAGGACGAGCAGCGUUUGACAGUGAAUCUCCUCCAGAUGUUGCUAGAGAGAGUCGGAGGAAGACUGAAGGACAGACACCUGAUCAUCAUCAACAGUCCUCAGCUUCUCCAGAGGAACAUCUCAGAUCAGCAGAUCACACACACAGUGAGAGAGUGUGUGUUUUUUCUCUGAUCCAGGGCCUCAUAUCUUCAUACUAGCACUGCAGUAUAAAGACUUCACUAAGAAGGACUUGAGAAGAGUGAAAUAUGUGCUGGAAACAUUCAGUGAAGAGGCCAUUAAACACACCAUGGUGCUAACGACUGAUGACGAGACUGAUAAAAUGGGCAUCUGUGAAAGCUAAUGAAUUAAUUCAACAAUUAACUGCAGAAUGUGGAGGAGGACAUGUUCAAUUUAAUAACGAAAUAGAGGAAUGGUGCUCUGUAAUAUCAGAACGACUGGAGAAGAUACUUGGAGAAAACCAUGGAGAAUUUCUUACAUGUGAAAUAUUUUACGAUGCAGAAGAAACACUGCACUGCUGGAUGAAGAUCAGAGCAGAUCUUUAGCUUCACUCAGAAUGAAGAAGGAAGAUUCUGAUGGUGUAAGUGUCACCAGAGAAGAGAAGCUGAACUUGGUGUUGUGUGGAAGUGAUGAAAACCUGAAGAAAUCCUUAUUAAAACUAAUAGAAGAGAAGAGGAGAGAUGUGGAUCUUCAUGAUCGUCAGAUCAGUGUGAUAGAGCUUCCAGCUCUGACUGGUCUCUCAAUAGAGGAAGUGAUGUGUCAGUCUCUCCGCUGUGUGUCUCUCGGUCAUCCUGGAGUUCAUGUUUUCAUCCUCAUUAUUCCUGACGCUCCUCUCAAUAAUGAAGACAGAGCAGAAACAGAGAAGAUCCAGAAGAUCUUCAGCUCCAGAAUCAACAAACACAUCCUGAUCCUCAUAAAGCAGAGCUCAGAGCGUCAGACAGAAGAACUCAGUGAAGAAACACAGUCUGUCAUUCAGAGGUUCGGAGGAAGACAUCAGCUCUUUGGUCCCAAAACACAGGUGUCCACAUUGAUGGAGAACAUUGAGCAGAUGCUGGAAGAAAACAGAGGAGAGUGUUUCUCCACAGAGAUGUUUCUGGAGACACAGAUGAAGAAACUGAUGAAAUAUGAAGAGAUGAAGAAGAAAACUGACUCAUUAGAGACACAUUUACUCUGUUCAUUCUCAUUCAAAGAGAGAAUGAACAGAGAACGAGAAGAAGAGAUGAAGAAACAUGAAAAAGAGAAAGAGAGCAUGAAGAUGAUGAUGGAGGAAGAACGACAGAAUCAGGAUAAAGAGAGAAAGAAAAGAGAAGAGGAACUGAGAGAAAGAGAGGAGGAGAUGGAGAAACUGAACAGAGAAAGAGAGGAAGAGAUGGAGAAACUGAUGAGAGAAAGAGAGCAAGAGAUGGAGAAACUGAACAGAGAAAGAGAGGAAGAGAUGGAGAAACUGAAGAGAGACAGAGAGGAGGAGAUGGAGAAACUGAACAGAAAAAGAGAGGAAGAGAUGGAGAAACUGAACAGAGAAAGAGAGGAGGAGAUGGAGAAACUGAAGAAAGAAAGAGAGCAAGAGAUGGAGAAACUGAAGAGAGAAAGAGAGCAAGAGAUGGAGAAACUGAAGAGAGAAAGAGAGGAGGAGAUGAAGAAACACGAAGAGGAGAAAGAGAGAGUGAAAAGAGAAAGAGAGGAAGAGAUGAAGAAACAUGAAGAGGAGAAAGAGAGAAUGAACAGAGAAAGAGAGGAAGAGAUGAAGAAAUACGAAGAGGAGAAAGAGAGAAUGACCAGAGAAAGAGAAGAAGAGAUGAAGAAAUACGAAGAGGAGAAAGAGAGAAUGAAGAGAGAAAGAGAGGAAGAGAAGAAGAAACUGGAAGAGGAGAAAGAGAGAAUGAACAGAGAACGAGAAGAAGAGGUGAAGAAAUAUGAAGAGGAGAAAGAGAGAAUGAACAGAGAAAGAGAGGAAGAGAUGAAGAAACACGAAGAAGAGAAAGAGAGAAUGAACAGAGAAAGAGAGGAAGAGAUGAAGAAACACGAAGAAGAGAAAGAGAGAAUGAACAGAGAAGAGAGGAAGAGAUGAAGAAAUAUGAAGAGGAGAAAGAGAGAAUGAACAGAGAAAGAGAGGAAGAGAUGAAGAAAUAUGAAGAGGAGAAAGAGAGAAUGAACAGAGAAAGAGAGGAAGAGAUGAAGAAACACGAAGAAGAGAAAGAGAGAAUGAACAGAGAAAGAGAGGAAGAGAUGAAGAAACACGAAGAAGAGAAAGAGAGAAUGAACAGAGAACGAGAAGAAAAGGUGAAGAAAUAUGAAGAGGAGAAAGAGAGAAUGAACAGAGAAAGAGAGGAAGAGAUGAAGAAACACGAAGAAGAGAAAGAGAGAAUGAACAGAGAAAGAGAGGAAGAGAUGAAGAAACACGAAGAAGAGAAAGAGAGAAUGAACAGAGAAAGAGAAGAAGAGAUGAAGAAACUGGAAGAGGAGAAAGAGAGAAUGAACAGAGAAAGAGAGGAAGAGAUGAAGAAACAAGAAGAGGAGAAAGAGAGAAUGAACAGAGAAAGAGAGGAAGAGAUGAAGAAACAAGAAGAGGAGAAAGAGAGAAUGAACAGAGAAAGAGAGGAAGAGAUGAAGAAACAAGAAGAGGAGAAAGAGAGAAUGAACAGAGAAAGAGAGGAAGAGAUGAAGAAACACGAAGAGGAGAAAGAGAGAAUGAACAGAGAAAGAGAAGAAGAGAUGAAGAAACUGGAAGAGGAGAAAGAGAGAAUGAACAGAGAAAGAGAGGAAGAGAUGAAGAAACAAGAAGAGGAGAAAGAGAGAAUGAACAGAGAAAGAGAGGAAGAGAUGAAGAAACAAGAAGAGGAGAAAGAGAGAAUGAACAGAGAAAAGAGAGGAAGAGAUGAAGAAACAAGAAGAGGAGAAAGAGAGAAUGAACAGAGAAAGAGAGGACGAGAUGAAGAAACUGGAAGAGGAGAAAGAGAGAAUGAACAGAGAACGAGAGGACGAGAUGAAGAAACACGAAGAGGAGAAAGAGAGAAUGAACAGAGAACGAGAAGAAGAGAUGAAGAAACAUGAAAAAGAGAAAGAGAGCAUGAAGAUGAUGAUGGAGGAAGAACGACAGAAUCAGGAUAAAGAGAGAAAGAAAAGAGAAGAGGAACUGAGAGAAAGAGAAGAACGAUCUAAAAGAGAAAUGAAGGAACAGGAGGAGCAGAUGAGAGAAGAAAUGAAAAGUGUGAAAGAGGAGUAUAAAAAUGAAAUAAAGGAAAUGAAGAAAGAAAUUGAGAUUAUAAAGAAAGAAAAAGAAAAUCUUCAGAUCAGGUAUGACACAGAAACAGACAGAAUGAUGAACAGAAUAGAGAAAGAACGACAGAAUCAUGAAUCAGAGAAAAGGAGAAGAGAAAAAGAGUUUAAUGACAGAGAUGAGAGAUAUAAAAGAGAAAUGAAGGAACAAGAGCAGAUGAGAGACGAGAUGAAAAGAGAAAGAGAGAUGAUUAAAGAUGAAAUGAGUCAAGAAAAAGAGACUGUGAAGAAAGAAAAAGAAAAACUACAGAUAGAAAUAUAUAGACUGAUGAACAGAAUAGAGAAUGAACGACAGAACCAUGAAUCAGAGAGAAAGAGAAGAGAAGAAGAGUUUAAUGAGAGACAAGAGAGAUAUAAAACACUAAUAACAGAGAAAGAGAGAGAGAUGAAAGAGGAGAUGAAGAGAGAACGAGAGGAAUGGGAGAAACAGAAACAAGAGGAAAAGAGGAGAAGAGAAGAAGAGGAUGAGAGAAAACGAGUGCAGUGGAGAGAGGAACAUGAGAGAGAGAGAGAGAAGAUGAUGAUGAAGAUCUGCUCUGAAACUGAUCCUUCACUGAAGGUGAGUCUUCAAGACUUUCAUGUUUGUUCUGUCAGUAAUCACACUUUUAAUAUUAAUAUUAUCACACAAAAAUCAACAAUUAAAGUUAUUUUUACUGAAUGAUGUGUUCAACUCCAAAAGGUCUCAGCUUACAGGAAACUGGAGACAGAAUACAGGAAGUGGUGCUGGAGUCUGCGCUGUGCCAUGAUGGAAACUGAGAACAAACUACACAACCAAAUAGAAAUGAAGCAAUUUAUGAGAUUGAAGAACAGGAUCUUCACAGAGAACUGAAGAAGACGAGUGAAGAAGUGGAGAAAUCAAUGUCUGAAUUCUUUGAGAAAGACCGAGAUAAAGAUAUACUGAUUCAGUGGAAAACAUCAUUUGAAAUCAAAAUCAGAGAUCAUCAGGAAAACAUUGUGAGCAAAACAAAGAGGAAAUUAAAUGAGAUUCUUCAGCAGCGAGACCUGAAGAAAAAGAUUGAUGCUCAGAGAAUACAUCAUGAAAACACUCUCUAUGAAAAGAGCAAACAACUCGCCUUAAAACUCAGAGACAGAAGAAAUGAUGAAGAAACACUGAAGAAAGAGUUUGAUGUGUUCUGGGAACAGAGUGUGAAGAAGAUCAUCAGAGAUGCUCCAACGAUCAGAGACAUUGAUAUAAUGAGAGACGUGAGAGAAAUACUCAGUGACAGCUAUAAAAGUGUUUCUGUAGAUCACUGGAGAGAGAAAAUAUCACUGCUCUCUGUGCAGAGUUAUUCAGAAUAUGUGAGGGUUAAGAGAUCCAGUGAAUUUACAGGAGCUUAUAAAAAUGCCAUCAGAUUAGCUUUUGGUUAUAUUCUGUCUCCAGAGGAUGAAUCUCAGAUCAGAUCAUUAGUCACAGAUGUUGUUCAGCAGACAGACAGAAUGAUUCAGACAUUUAACAUUUCAAAGAUGGGCUACAACAUCAUCUGCAUUCAACAAAUCACAGAUUACAUCAGAGCAAGAGUAACACAACAUGAGGAAGAACAAGUGAGAUAUGUGUUCAAGAAUGAGUUCUUCAUGGAUUUGGUUCUGUCCAUCUGUGAGAGAGCAAACAAGAAGAUCACUGAGCAACACACACUGUUCAGAGAAGACAAUGAUCCUGUUUUCUAUUUGGAGAAGAAGAGAGAAGAGUACUUUAGUUUUUUUCCAGAAAAACUGUCAUGGAUCCGCAUCAGCUGCUAUGUUUGGAGAGAUCCUCUGUCAGAAACUGAAAGAGCCGAUUGAACAGAGCGUCUACAAGAGAACUGCCAGAGAUUUAGCAGAUGAAAUGAGAUCAAACUGUGAACCACUGAAUGGAGACAGAUCACAUCUGGAGAAACACAUCCUGAAGACACUGGCAGAAGAGGAGGAUUUCAACAAAUACAUGAACUACAUUCAUCAUCCCAGAGAUCACUUCAAGAGUUUCAUCAGAGAUGAAGUCAGUCGGUACAUCACUGAUCAGUUCAGUCUCAGUGUUUUACCCAAGAUGAAGGAGAACAUUAAACUCCUGGAGCAGAAGAUCAUGAGAGCAGCUCAUCAAUCUACCGAACGUGUUAAAGAGAACAGAGAUGAAUCUACUGAACGUGUUCAAGAGAACAGAGGAGAUGUUGGUUUGUGGUUGAAGAGUUUCACACGGCAGAUCUCAGAUGAUCUGAUCUUCUCUGAGAAACACCUCAGUGGAGUCAAACAUGAUGAUGUUGAUGAUAUCAAUCUCCUAGAAGAUGUGAUAAAGAGAGAACUUCCUGCUAUAAUAUCUGAGAUCAGCAGGAGAUUAAACACAGAGUCAUUUCCUCUGAAACUGGACUAUAAGUUCAGACCAGAUGGGGUUCAGAUAGACCUCUUCUGUCAGUGCUGUUGGGUUCAGUGUCCGUUCUGUGGAGCCACCUGCACAAACACCACAGAAGACCAUCCUGGAGAUCACAGUGUUCCUCUCCACAGAGUGACUGGAGUUAAUGGACAUUUCUACAGAGGAACAACAAACUUGUGUAUUAACAUCUGCACAUCAGAUGUAGCAAGUGAUCAAUGUUUUUAUCUCGAUGGAUCAGAUGAUAGAGUCCUCUAUAGAGAGUACAGAAGAGCAGGAGGAGAUUAUGAGAAGUGGAGCAUCACUCCUGAUCUCUCUGAACUGAUCUACUGGAAGUGGUUUGUGUGCAGAUUCAACAGAGAUCUGGAGAAAUACUACAGGAAAACAUUCGAGUGGAGUGGAGAGAUACCAGAGGAAUGGAGGACAUACACAAAACAUGAAGCCCUUGAGAGUUUGGAGAAAUACUUUUAAAAUAUAUAAACUUAUAAAGCAAAACAACACUCUUUUAGACAGUUACAGAACAAUAUAAAUAUGCUGUUCCAAGGGGAAAAGAUGUAGUUCCUUCAAUCUGUUUUAUGUAAGAAAUUAUAGCUAGGAAUGUAUUUAUAAUAAAUCAGAUUUUAUUCACUAUACCUGGCAAACCUCAACAUCAUUUUGUGAAGUAAUGGAGAUUCUGUGCUGUAGAUUUCACAUACAAAUAUUAACAACAAAUAAACACUGUUCAGCUAAUUAUAAAUAACAUUUGAAUGAUUUAACAUUACAGCUUAUUUAGAAUUUAAUCGCACCAUGUCUAAUAAUCUUCAAAUAAAUCCUGUAAUCUUAUUUGGCUGGUAUUACAUUGUGUUUUCCAGGAAUAAUUUCCGAUCUGAAGUGUUUCUAUGUUAUAUUAUACAGUAAUGUUUGCAUCACACGAUCAGUUGUGUGUCUGUUGAUUGUGUGAUCAUCUGUUCACAUUUUCUUAAUAAAGGCUUCUCCAACAUUCAGCCCAAAUACAAUACAAUACAUUUGAAUUCAUUUACUAGAAGACAAAAAAUAAAUAAUAAACAGUAAAUAAUAA
ensembl:lncRNA